GACGAACGCUGGCGGCGUGCCUAAUACAUGCAAGUCGAACGCAUUUUCUUUCACCGUAGCUUGCUACACCGAAAGAAAAUGAGUGGCGAACGGGUGAGUAACACGUGGGUAACCUGCCCAUCAGCGGGGGAUAACACUUGGAAGCAGGUGCUAAUACCGCAUAAUUCCAUUUACCGCAUGGUAAAUGGAUGAAAGGCGCUUUUGCGUCACUGAUGGAUGGACCCGCGGUGCAUUAGCUAGUUGGUGGGGUAACGGCCUACCAAGGCUGCGAUGCAUAGCCGACCUGAGAGGGGGAUCGGCCACACUGGGACUGAGACACGGCCCAGACUCCUACGGGAGGCAGCAGUAGGGAAUCUUCGGCAAUGGACGCAAGUCUGACCGAGCAACGCCGCGUGAGUGAAGAAGGUUUUCGGAUCGUAAAACUCUGUUGUUAGAGAAGAACAAGGAUGAGAGUGGAAAGUUCAUCCCUUGACGGUAUCUAACCAGAAAGCCACGGCUAACUACGUG
rnacentral:rRNA from 1 species